UGGGUUAGAGCCAUAGAAGAGGCUUCCGCUUGUUAAGCGGACGAUUGGGGAUUAAGAGCCCCUAACCCAG
rnacentral:tRNA from 1 species